AGAGAGAGGUGUGACGGCAGGGAGAAAGCAAACCUCGCGCUCGCAGGAUUGUGCUGGCAACAUUUGGUUACUGAGGUAGCCUAAAUGUGAGACGUUGGCAGUCCACAUCUGCUGCGUCUUCUGAACAAAACAAGUGAGUUUGCUGACGUAUGACGACGCUUUGCAGGAGACCGCGGCGCGAUGAUUCGUCAAAGUUGCAGAAAAGUUGCGGUGAUUUUUCAAAAUUGCAAGG